rnacentral:tRNA from 1 species
GGAGACGUGCCAGAGCGGUUGAAUGGGGCGGUUUCGAAAACCGCUAUACCUGCAAAGGUAUCGGAGGUUCGAAUCCUCCCGUCUCCG